UUAGGAAUGUCAAUUUGCUCCGCCCAUCCUGAAAACCGCGGUGCACCACCCCUAACGGGGUGGUUUUUCCCCGCAAAAAUGGGAUGAUGGGGUGGGCUCAGGCUAAAUUUCUUAGGCCCGAAGCGGGGCCGGGCUGGGACCGGGGAUUAAAUACCCCGGCCCGUAUAUAUUUACCUUAUUAUUUUUUUUUUAAUAUUUUGAAACUUUAAACUUAUGCCUUUCUCCUAGCAGGCCCUAAACUCAAAUACAUUCCUGUCAAUCAACAGUACACACACACUCACCAGACACCAGUCACAUUCCACUCAACUCUCUUCCCUCAGCUCCACCACCAUCUCCCUUAGCUCUCUCAGCUCUUCUUAGUCCAACUCCAAUAGUGCCGCAACACCAUCUCCGAUCUCCCUCAGUAGUCAGCUCUAGCAGUGCCGCCACCACCAUCUCCGGUCUCCCUCAGCUCUCUCAGCCGAUUCUUCUUCAUAGCCGCAGCCACCACCUGUGAGCAUCACCUCCUCCCUCAGGUAAAUUAUGGCCGAAGCUAGUGGUUCGACAAUUGGAAGCACUCCACAUGACAAGGAUCAAUCAUCAUCAACACAUUUUAGCAACAAUUUGACUCCAAUUAGUACUCCUCAAGAAAUACCUAGUCAAGAAGAUAUAAACCAAACUCCAAUAGAGGUAUGUGACGAGGAUAGUAGUCAAGUAAUUGGAAAAAGAAAAUUGAUUUCGGUUGUGUGGAAUCAUUUUAAAAGGGUAAAGAUAGAUGGGGUGGAUAAAGCUGUAUGUAAUUAUUGUAGUAAAAAACUAGGAGGAGGGAGUAGAAAUGGAACAAGACAUUUGCAUGAUCAUUUUAAAAGGUGUCCUCUUUGAACACAAAAGGAUAUUAAGCAAACAAUUUUGAAUCAUACUAAAGAUGCCGGUGGGAAAGUUAAAGUUGGUACAUACACGUUUGGCUAAGAGAAUGCCAGAAAGGAGCUUGUAAACAUGAUUGUUUUACAUGAAUACCCUCUUUCAAUAGUUAAACAUUACGGAUUUAGGAGGUUUAUGAAUAUGGUUCAACCAUUGGUUGAAGUGGUUUCUUGUAAUACAAUUAGAAUUGAUAUUUUUAAAUUAUAUGAUUACGAAAAAUCCAAAACAAUGGAGUUGUUAGAGAAGAAUUAUGGUAGAGUUGCAAUUACUACGGAUAUGUGGACAUCUAACCAAAAUAGAGGCUUCAUGGCACAUUUCAUUGAUGAUAAUUGGAUAAUUCAAAGUCGAAUUAUAAGGUACUUUAUAAGUUUAUAUAUUAAAUUUCAUAUUUAUUGGAUUGUUUUAUGUAUUUAAGUCAAAUUAGUUUAGUUUAUUAUAACUAUUUAUUAUUAUUAUUUUUUGUAGGUUUGUAUAUGUGCCUUGUCCACAUAUUUAUGAGGUUCCUUGCAAUAUUUUUAUGGAUUGCAUAUUGGAUUAGAAUAUAGAUGGUAAGCUUUCUACUUUGACCAUAGACAAUUGUAGUAAAAAUGAUGCUUUGGUCAAUCUUCUUUUGGAUAAGCUUCCUAAUUCUUCAUUUUUGUUAAAUGGUCAAUUUUUUCAUAGGCGGUGUGGUGCACGUAUAUUGAAUUUGAUUGUGAAAGAUGGUUUGGAAAUCAUUUGUGGAAGUAUUGAAAAAAUUCGUGAAAGUGUUUAUUUUUGGACAUCAACACCAAAAAGGGAGGAAAAUUUCUUAGAAUGUGUUCGCCAAUUGAAAAUUUCUUGUGAUAAGAAGUUGGUUCUUGAUUGUAAAACUAGGUGAAAUUCUACAUAUUUGAUGAUUGCUACUACUUUGAAAUAUAUGACUGUUUUUCCUUGUUUGAAACAACGAGAGUCACUAUAUAAAUGUUUACCUAGUGAUCAAGAUUGGGAUUUAGCCAAAGAGAUUUGUGAAAAGCUAGAGUUGUUUUAUGAAGUGACUGAAAUAUUUUCAGGAACAAAGUAUCCUACAGCUAAUUUUUUUUCCCCACACAUUUGUGAGAUUAGGAUAUCAAUUUGUGAUUGGCUAGCAUCUUCUUGUGAGGAAAUUAGAUUGAUGGCUGUGGGUAUGAUGUCUAAAUUUGAAAAAUAUUGGAGUGAAACACAUGACAUAAUGGCUGUAGCAACUCUUUUAGAUCCAAGGUAUAAAAUGAAAGUGAUAGAAUAUUAUUUUCCUUUGAUUUAUGGGGGUGAAGGUGUGCAUAAGUUGCUAUUGUACAUCAAAUCUGCUAUGAUUUAGUGAAGGAGUAUCAAUCAAAACGCAAUUUGAGUGCAAAUGUUCCAAAUGUUUCAUCUUUCCAAUCCAAUGUGCUUCCAUCUGUAAAAAAAGAUCGUUUGGCAAAAUUUGAUUUAUUUGUUUCUAGCACUACUAAUCUUGAUAAUGUAAAAUCUGAACUUGAUCAUUACUUGGAGGAACCGGUUUUGCCUAGAUCUAAUGACUUUUACAUAUUAGCAUGGUGGAAAGUAAAUGCAAUAAAGUAUCCUACUUUGCAUAAUAUUGCAAGAGAUAUUUUAGCUAUUUCAGUAUCGACUGUUGCAUCUGAGUCUGCAUUCAGUACCAGUGGAAGAUUUGUGAGUUCACAUUGAAGUAGACUUCAUCCUAAAACUUUGGAAGCUUUGAUCUGUGCACAAGAUUGGUUAUGGGCUGAAAUUAAUGGUAUGAAAAAUUAAAUUUUAUAUUUUUUUGUCUUAAAUAUUUUUUGUAUUUAUUGUUAACUAAUUAAUCUCGUUUUUGUUGGCUUCAUCUUCUUCACCGUAUGUUGGAGCUUGUUCUUCUACUAUGAGUGACAUAGAAAUUGAUAAGGAGAUAAAUUGAAUUUAUUUAUUACAAAAAAUGUUUAUAUUAAAUUGUUUAAAAUUUUUUGAUAUUAUUUAAUAUUUUUAUCUAUUUUUGUAGCAAUCAAUUCUUACGAAACAUUUUUCCAUAGAGACUUAAGGAAAUGAGAAGCAAAACUUUAUUAUGUGUGCAUGUAUAUUUUUAUAAAUUUUAUGCUUAUGUAUUUAGAUUAUAUUAUAUUGUAUUUUUUGAGAAUGUAUGUUAUUAAAAUUAUAAAUUUGAACUUUGAUA